rnacentral:snRNA from 1 species
AUUGCUUCUCGGCCUUGUGGCUAAGAUCGAGUGGAG